GGUCCCAGUCCACCCCAGUCCAUCCCAGUCCGGUCUCAGUCCACCCCAGUCCAGUCCCUGUCUGCCCCGACCUGUCCCGGUCAGGUCCCAGUCCACCCCAGUCCAGUCCCUGUCCGCUCCGACCCGUCCCGGUGGGUCCCAGUCCACCCCAGUCAGGUCCUAGUCCAUCCCAGUCCAUCCCAGUCCCUCCCAGUCUGGUCCCUGUCUGCCCUGACCCAUCCCAGUCCGGUCUCAGUCCACCCCAGUCCAGUCCCUGUCCGCUCCGACCCGUCCCAGCGGGUCCCAGUCCACCCCAGUCCACCCCAGUCAGGUCCUAGUCCAUCCCAGUCCAUCCCAGUCCCUCCCAGUCUGGUCCCUGUCUGCCCUGACCCAUCCCAGUCAGGUCCUAGUCCACCCCAGUCCAUCCCAGUCAGGUCCCAGUCCACCCCAGUCCAUCCCAGUCCUAUCCCAGUGUAUCCCGAUCCAUCCCAGUCCAGUCCUAGGGUAUCCCAGUGUAUCCCAGUCCAUCUCCAUCCCUUCCAGUCCAUUCCAGUCCGCUCCCAGUACACCCUAGUCCAUCCCAGUCCAGUCCCAAUGUACCCUAGUUCAUCUCUGUCCGUCCCAGCCCGCCCCAGUCCGCUCUCAGUCCUCCCCAGUGCGCCCAGUUACCGAAGCGCUCCCAGUCCGAGUGGCUCAACGCGUCCAUGAGGCGGCAGAAGCUGCACAUGAGCCAGGCGGGCAGCUCGUACAGGAAGGGCCCGAGCCCCGGCCCCGGCCCC
rnacentral:lncRNA from 1 species